rnacentral:lncRNA from 1 species
CCACCAUAGAGUGUCCCCAGCUCCUGGGCACCUGCUAGAGUAUAAGUCUUCCCAUGCUUGAAGGUGGACACCUUCCACAGCCAAAGCGGCUUCCCACCUCUGAGGCCACCCUCCUCUGAGCCAAGAGAUCCCUGCAAACGAAGCAGUAUGUGACUAUUCUGGAUCCAUGACUACAAGGCAUCAGAUGGAGCUGUUCUAAGAGGGUAUAUCAAUCUUACAGCCCAGCUGCUCCUCUACAACAAAGGUUGCUGGCCUUUGGCUCAUACCAAGCUCGGAACAUGGAUUCUAAGAGCCGGGGCAUUAAGAAGAUAUGGUGAAACUUCUGAUGAUGUUCUUGCUACAAUGAUGUUGCCAGGAACUAACCAUGGACAACAUCAGACAAAUGAUGAGACAGAAGAUAACAUAUGUGCUCUAGGAUCCUGAAAUGUGUGGAGAUCAAUGUGACGGCUAAUUUUCUUUGUCAACUGACAUACUCUAGAGUCACCUGGAAGGGGCUGCCACUGAGGAAUUGUUUAAAUCAAUGGUUCUUACCCUUCCCAAUGCUGUGACCCCUUAAUAAAGUUCCUCAUGUUGUGGUAACCCCUAAUCAUAAAACUAUUUUCAUUGC